rnacentral:rRNA from 1 species
UACGUAGGGGGCGAGCGUUGUCCGGAAUCAUUGGGCGUAAAGAGCGUGUAGGCGGCUUGGCAAGUCUGACGUGAAAGCCCGCGGCUCAACCGCGGAUUGUCGUUGGAAACUGCCUCGCUAGAGUCCGGAAGAGGAGAGCGGAAUUCCUGGUGUAGCGGUGGAAUGCGCAGAUAUCGAGGAAGAACACCCGUGGCGAAGGCGGCUCCUCUGGGACGGUACUGACGGCUGAGGCGCGAAAGCGUGGGUAGCAAACAGG